CUGUUCAACAUUUGAUGAUUAAAUUUUAUCAUUUCCGCGUGUUCGUCAGUUUUAUGAAUAAUAAUUAUUCACAAAAAUAGCAUUUUUUGUAUAUAAUUACAACAAGUUACAUUACUAACUAGCCUUAUUUGUUAAAGACACAGCAAUCAUCAAGUUGUUAGAAAAGUAAGGUGUUCCGUUGGGGUACAAAUCAAAGUGAAAAAUGAGUAUAUAUUGUGUGGAAAAAUCAAUAACAUUGAGACAAACAGUUGUCUAAUUUAUGGAGCAAAAUGAAACACAAUGGUUCAGAAAUUAUUUAUAUUAAUGUAUUUUUUCUGUGUUUUUAGGUUUAAAAUGUUUUUUUAUAGUACAAAUUUAAAUAAGACAUUAUACACUGUUAUACAACGUGGUGUAUAAAAUAAAAUAUAUUUAUUAAAAAACUUCAUUCAUUUUUUUAUAAAUCAAUAAAUGAAAUACAGAUAAGAUUGAAUGUUUAAUCUUAUAACCAGUUUUUGUUAAUUUAAAAACAAUUGUCUAAGAACUGUUCAUGUUUAAUUCUUAGGAGCAAACAGCCCUACAGUACUUAAUUUACCCAGGAGUAGACUACUUGUAGUUGAAGGUAGACAGAAGGCCAGACUUAGGCAGGAUGAUUGAACAAAAUCUGCUUGCAGAUGGACUACUGAGGCAAAAAAAAUUGGACUCUCAGGAGGUGAACAGAUGUUCAGCAAGAAAUUCGCACAUCAAAUGCUGUGAAUUACACUGAUAUCCCCCCCCCCAAAAAAAAGAACAGAGAGACCAAUCAUUAGCAGCUUGAGACUUGGUGCACAUAACCUUGCCACAGAAAAGGGGAUUUGCCUAUAAACACUCCCUAAAUGAAAGAUUUUGUAAAUUAUUUGUUACACAGGAGAGAUUUAAGAUGUAUUUCGUUUUUAUUUAGCUACCAAAAAUACAAUAAUUAUAAGUUAACUUUUGAAAGGAAGUUGAUGUAUUUUUUUCUUGAAAGGAAAAGUAUCAAAUUUGUCUCAUAUACUUUUGAUAGUCAAUGUACAGAAAUACUGAAAAUAACACUUAUUUAUUAAGAAAUACCAUAUAUUUAGAAAUCAUUGUAAUACAUAUUUGUUGUGUAUUAUUGUGUAAAUUAUAUUAUUGUGUGAUUUAUGUAUAGCCUCAAAAUCUAGAUGCAGUGUAUUGUAUAAAAUUGUAUGAACAAUUGGUGAUUCUUAUACUAAUAUGUUGCACCCUUGACAAUUAUUGUAAUUGUGUUGGCGCUGAUAAAUAUUUAUAUACAUGUCAUAUAUUAGUUCAUGUACAAAACAUAUAAAGAUUCUAUAAUAUAACAUAAAGUUUUGGCCUUUAACAUGUUUAACUCAGCAAAAAUAUACAUGUAUUUCGUUCGCCAACCUUUACUUUUUUGUAAAUAAUGAAACCAGUAUAUUUUAUAACAGAGGAAAUUCGAACUGAAUUUUUAAAAAGUUUUUUUGGAAACAUGGCAAUAAUUUCAACAAUUAUAUUCAAAAUAAUACAUUAUAUCACAUUUCAGAGAAAAUGUAUUAUCUAACCGCCUGUCCUGUCUCUUAAAUUAUUAGCCUAUAUGAGAUAUUGAAAGCAUAUUCUUUGUUCAAUAAUAAUUUUUAAAAUGAGGAAAUUCGAGCUAACCUGGCAAUUUAAUAAAUAUGAAUACCCCUUUAUUUUUUUGUUGUAAAUGAUUCAUUCAACAUCUAUCUUUCCUAUGGUUGUAAAAAUAUUUUUUUCUGAAUAUUUGAUUUAAGUAAAAAAAUUAAAUGAAACAGAAUGAUUGUCAAAGACUUAAUUAUCACUUUAUAAAGAGUACAGAGGAAAUUCGGAAUAAAUAUUUUGUGUCAUUUGUGAUCAAAAGUUUGUUAUUUAUUUUACUUUAGUACAUUGCUUUAACAUAAAACUUAAGACUUAAAUUGUUUUUUUCAUAUCUAAACAUCUCCAUUUUUCCAAAACAUCAAUUUUAAAAUACCACAUUGGAUUUUCUCAAUUCCACAGGAGGAAAAAAUGUAUUUUUAGCAUCAACUUUUCAAAUGACCUUCAAGCAAAAUCAAGGAUGAUGACCCCACAUCUUUUUCUUGUCAUUUAAUUGUGCAUAUCUUGAAAUGUUUCCAUGCAUAACUGCAUUAUUUUCUGAAUAUAUAAAAUAGGAAAAGA